rnacentral:lncRNA from 1 species
CACAAUUUAAUUCAAAUGCCAUUUUCAUUACCAAAAUAUCCAAGUUCAUUACACAAAGUCAAGAAUCACAAAAUUCUACACAAAGUUACAUUUUUUACCUACAAUUGACUUUUGGUCAACUAUUGAUUUUUUGGUCAAACAUUUGACCAAAGUCAACUACCUAUCCUAAACCUUAGGACAUACUUCCUGCUCCAACCUUCAUCCAUGGCCAUCUUGUCCUCUUCAUCUUCAUAAUGUUGUCUUCAUGUCAUAUUAAACUUUAUGCUGCAAAACCUCCAUGUAUGCCAAAGUGUAACUUCAUUUGUAACUGCAUCACCUAUGUUUUGGACCAUCAGGUACCUAUAUUAGGCCUGCAACCAGUCACACAAAACUUGCCAUAUCAUUAUGCAUCAAGGGCAAACCAAAACAGGUUCAACAUCAAAGUCCAAACAUAUCAUCAAUAUGCAUAAGCAUACAUGUUACAUCAAACUAGAAAAAAAAAGCAUAUUCAUUACAAACAUCAAGGCAUCACCAUCACAUACAUGCUCAAAUAUUACACAUGCAUCACACAUCCUAACAUCAUAACAUAACAAGCUACACUAACAUAGCCAACCAACAAUAUUCAGUUCAUUUUAUUUGCAUUCUAACAGUUCCAAAAUACCAUGAUAGUUCCAUAUCAUUGAUACAUCACAUAACAAUUGAUCCUUAAUGCACUAACUUCAUAACAUUUCAGUUUCACUUGAACCAACUUUCCUAACUGUUAUAACCCCUAACAAAUUUGCACUUGAACUAAAUCAUUUCUAACCUAACAUCCUCACUUUAAAUUUUUCAUAACAAAUCCCAAAACUCAAUCAUUCACAAAACAAUUCAUUUACUUCCUACUUCACUUUCAAACAAUAAUAAUUUCUAACAGUUCAAAACUAUGUCCAGCAACUGUAUAUUUCCAAUUUACAAAUACACGCACACCAUAAUGUUAACUUCAUAACAUAACUAACAUUUACCACAAUUAACAUGACUCACAAUAACUCAAUAAGACUAAUUGACAUAUUUCAAUUUCUAAAUUCAGUAGUGGUUCCCAAAGUUUUGCAGUUCAUAAGUUUGACACUAGGUGGUUAUCCUAAUUGUUUCCAAAUUGUCAUCACUAACCAACUGCUUUUAUUAACUAACAUAAUUAAUUUCUCAAUAGUGUAACUCAUCUCCAUGUUACUAAAUUCAAACUCAUACAUCAACAUAAAACCAAUUCAACUCAUCACUAGCUAACAUUCUCUAAUUCACUAACAAUCUAACUAUAAUUCAAUCAGUUUUACUAACUGUUAGAUAUUUGAUUUUAACUAAACUAACAAUGCAAAUAUUGUUCAUGGUACUUCACUAAUACUAAUUAUCCAUACUAACCAUUAACUCUCACUAUCAGUUUCAAAUGAUUUCACGUAACUUACCUAUUAACAUAAUAGUUGCUAACUAACUUCUAAUUUAAUUAACAUUUACCAUUCAAAACUAACUCAUCCUAACCAUUUAAGUAAACUAACUCAUCCUACAAACUUUGGGGCCAAUCCUGCACUGUAGGUAAGCUCCUUUUCCAUUCCUCUUUAAUUCACAUCGAUGGCAAACUAAACCCCUAAGGUUUGAGAUUUCAAUGCUAUUUGAUUUCAUUUUCUUUGACUUAUGGUUCUUGGUUUAUGUUUGGCAUUUGGAGAAAUUCAGUAAAUGUUUGAUGAAACAAAUACGAGAUUAAGAGCGAGGACUGUGAGAGGAUUAGUUUGGUGGUGGAAUUUGGUCAGAGUGGACAGCUCUGCCGCCUUCGGCGUGGCGGAGCAAGGUUCUGGCGAGGAAAGCAUUUUGAGGGAGAGAGAGUAAUGAAGCUGCAAAUGUGAG